rnacentral:tRNA from 1 species
GGGCGCUUAGUUCAGUGGCAGAACGUUCGAUUCACAUUCGAAAGGUCGGAAGUUCGAUCCUUCCAGCGCCCACCA